rnacentral:rRNA from 1 species
AUUGAACGCUGGCGGCAGGCCUAACACAUGCAAGUCGAGCGAGCGGCGGACGGGUGAGUAAUGUCUGGGAAACUGCCUGAUGGAGGGGGAGAACUACUGGAAACGGUAGCUAAUACCGCAUACCAUCAGAUGUGCCCAGGUGGGAUUAGCUCGUAGGUGGGGUAACGCCUCACCUCGGCGAGGAUCCCUAGCUGGUCUGAGAGGAUGACCAGCCACCCGGGAACUGAGACACGGUCCAGACUCCUACGGGAGGCAGCAGUGGGGAAUAUUGCACAAUGGGCGCAAGCCUGAUGCAGCCAUGCCGCGUGUGUGAAGAAGGCCUUCGGGUUGUAAAGCACUUUCAGCGGGGAGGCGUUACCCGCAGAAGAAGCACCGGCUAACUCCGUGCCAGCAGCCGCGGUAAUAC